rnacentral:ncRNA from 2 species
AAAGCAUAAGGGAGCUAAGAUAAACAAUUCUAACAUGGACGCCUGAAUUGUUUGGAGCAAGUGGCGUAACCGACCAGUUAUUUC